UACGUAGGGGGCUAGCGUUGUCCGGAUUUAUUGGGCGUAAAGAGCGUGUAGGCGGCCAUGUAGGUCCGGUGUGAAAACUCGAGGCUUAACCUCGAGAUGUCAUCGGAAACCAUUUGACUAGAGUCCGGAAGAGGAGAGUGGAAUUCCUGGUGUAGCGGUGAAAUGCGCAGAUAUCAGGAAGAACACCAAUGGCGAAAGCAGCUCUCUGGGACGGUACUGACGCUGAGACGCGAAAGCGUGGGGAGCGAACAGG
rnacentral:rRNA from 1 species